rnacentral:rRNA from 1 species
GAUGAACGCUGGCGGCGUGCCUAAUACAUGCAAGUCGAGCGAACAGAUGAGGAGCUUGCUCCUCUGACGUUAGCGGCGGACGGGUGAGUAACACGUGGAUAACCUACCUAUAAGACUGGGAUAACUUCGGGAAACCGGAGCUAAUACCGGAUAAUAUAUUGAACCGCAUGGUUCAAUAGUUAAAGACGGUUUUGCUGUCACUUAUAGAUGGAUCCGCGCCGCAUUAGCUAGUUGGUAAGGUAACGGCUUACCAAGGCAACGAUGCGUAGCCGACCUGAGAGGGUGAUCGGCCACACUGGAACUGAGACACGGUCCAGACUCCUACGGGAGGCAGCAGUAGGGAAGCUGCCGCAAUGGGCGAAAGCCUGACGGAGCAACGCCGCGUGAGUGAUGAAGGUCUUCGGAUCGUAAAACUCUGUUAUUAGGGAAGAACAAAUGUGUAAGUAACUAUGCACGUCUUGACGGUACCUAAUCAGAAAGCCACGGCUAACUACGUG